CCUUGCCACGGUUGCUACAGCAACCACCGCUUUUGGAGCCCGGGGAGAUGUUUCUCUGGACUUUCCGCCGCUGCUGCUCAGGACAGCCGCCUGUCGCCAAGGGUCGGAGCCGCUCCACAAGUUUCCAUCUGCUUAGGGACUGGCCCUACAUCUGCUGAGAAGUUUCUCCCGGCGUUUCAGCAGCAUUUACUCCUUUAGGAGAAAAAUACCUUUCCUAGGUUUUGUUUCGUCCCCGCCCCCACUGUUGCUUGGGGAAGGAGGCAGCUUUGGAACCAUGGAUGCUCGUUUGGUCUGACACAUCACUUCUUGAGAAAGCUGAAUUUCCUCUGGAUGCUAAGGACAUCAUAUUCUUCUUGCUGGUUCUGCUCUGUCUCCUCUGUACAGUCUACUUUUACACAGCAGCUGCAGCCAGAAGAGAAGGACAGCAAAUUGGCAGACACCACAAUCACUCAGGCUGCAGAUAAACAGGAUGGAUAGCCUAACCAAUAGCAGUUUCCCCUGUCUAAAGGAAGAAAUAUAAGACCAAAUCCAGUUGCCCAGUAAGAUGACCAUGGGGAGUGUGAGGCAGAACGUUCAAGGGGAAUGUCCUUUCAACACAACAUGCCAACAAUGCUACCUGGAGUAAAUGGAUCACUCUGAUCACACAGCAAGUUCAGAUGGGAAAUCCUAAUCACCCUGGGAUCUGGGAAAUUAUCACAAACUGACCUGAGGGUGAGUGUUUCGUACUAUCAUCUGAAGAGGAAGAGGAUUAGUUGGCACAUGCUGAGGAGGCCCCACCAUAUAAGCAGCCACCAGAAAGUGAGAGGCAACACUGACAGUUCCUGCUGUAUCAUAGGGACAAGUCAGAAAUGGAAAGCUGCCAUAUUGGAGCCUAAGCAGCAAGUUGCAGAAGCUACCAAAGACAAGGUGGAUCAAGUCAAGAUGCAGAGCUGAAAACCCAUCUGGCUUUGGAUAUUGCCAAUUGAGAGAAGUGGCCAAUACUAUACCUCUAUACUGAUUUGUGGAUGGUAACAAACACUCUGUGGGGGCAGCUGGAAUGAUGGAAGAAGGCCAAUUGGCACUGAAGAAGGAAAUUUGUCCAGGCAGCAAAAAUCUGGCUAGACAUUGCUGCUAGGGUAAAGAAGUUGUCUGCAGAAGUUGGUCAUGUGGAUGCCUAGAUGCCUAUGAGUCGGGCUAACGAGGAGCAUUGCAACAACAAAUAGAUGCAUUGGGCUGCCAAAAUUAAAGGUAGAUCUAGACUGUCAA